GACAUUAAAGAUGGCCUCUACUUGUAAGCUAUCGCUUUGCGAUGGGUCUGCGUCUGAUUAGCUGGUUGCGGGGUAAGAGCCCACCAAGGCGACGAUCAGUAGCCGGUCUGAGAGGAUGAACGGCCACAUUGGAACUGAGACACGGUCCAGACUCCUACGGGAGGCAGCAGUGGGGAAUCUUCCGCAAUGGGCGAAAGCCUGACGGAGCAACGCCGCGUGAGUGAAGAAGGUCUUCGGAUCGUAAAGCUCUGUCGAAGGGGACGAACGUAGUUUUUGUGAAUAAUGAGAGCUAAUGACGGUACCUUUCAAGAAAGCCACGGCUAACUACGUGCC
rnacentral:rRNA from 1 species